GCCGCGCCUGUCGCCGCUACACCCGCGCCGCCUGUGCCGGGAAACAGCAGGCGAGCGGAGUAGCUACAGCCGGAGCGGCAGGAAGAGGCGGGGCCUGCGGGGAAGGCCGCCUCCGCGGCCCUGGGCGCCCGUGCCGGCCCGGCCCAGCCCGGGCGGAGGGCUUUGUUGGGAGCGGCCUGGCGAGCAUGCUGAGGAAAUGGAGCUGAACUGCCUGCAGUGCCUUGAUCCACUUUGGAAAUGAUGAGCUACUUCACUAGAGUGAAUGACAGCAUAACGGAACAGAUGUAAGGGUGCCAAAAAUCUUUUUUAACUAGCAUCUUGUUUCCAAAAGUAACUAAGAGCAGGUACCAAGGAAACAAGUGAGAACUGUACAAGCAUAUAUAGUAUUUUCCUGGCUACUCGCCCAGUUUCCAACCAGAUGACAUCCUCAGCUGAAUUGCUUUGGGUUUGAUUUUUUUCCCCCCUCCCUUGGUAGAUUGCUCUACCCUGAAUUUCUCCAGCUGCCGUGAACCCCCAUCAUCUCCAGUCUUUGGCAAGGAGUACUGCAGGUACCACUACCCUUUUUAGAGAGCAUCCUCUUGGCACUUGUUGAAGUUGAGGCCUGUUAGCUCCAGUUGCAGCCACCUUUGCUCUCGUAUGAGAUAAGAGAGCGAACCAUUGGUUCCAACACAUGCUGUCUGCCCCGCUCCCAACUGCCUUCCUCAGUAGGAGCCUCCAAGCAGGCUGUUGAGGGCAGAGCUUUUUCAGGUCUCCCAGACCACUAUGUUACUUGCCUGCUAAAGCAUCUCAGCCUCUGAGAGGAAGGUAACGCUGAGGGAUCGCAGCCUUUCUUAACUGGAUGCUGCAGGGAAGAGGUAUGCCUGCGGUGAAUGACCUCACUCAAGUCCUUGUAUUGUGUCUUCUGUCUGCCAGGGACAGGUUUGAUAGAUUUUUCUCCUCUGUAAUAUGAUCAGUUCAUCGCUUUGAGGUAAUAAUGGAUGUCUCUACAACUUGCUUCAUUUUAGAGAUUAUUUGGUCUAAAGCCUUAGCAGUCACUAGUGUUUCCUCUUUUCUUCAUAGGCACUUUCCACAAUAUUUUUCAUUGAACAACCUUAACUUUUUGGAUCAGAUGAGACAGCUGUUUUAUGGGUUUGCUAAUUUGAGACUAGCUAGGACAAAGCUGAAGAUACCGUCCAGUAAGCUCUGUAAAUGUUUGCUUUAUAUGUUUCUCAAGAAGCUUCGCAAGGCAAUUAUUUCAGUUUCCAUAGUGAGCCGGGUUUGAUGUCUUUGCUGGUCAACACACAUCCUGCUCAGAGUUGUCAUUAACUCUGUUGUCUUCUUUCUUCUGCGCGGUGCCGAACGCUUUGACAGGGACCAGAUCAAUCCCAAGUAACAAGGGAUAUUUUUUAGCCUUGAUUCCAGAGUUAGCUGUCGUGGAUGCAACUGCCAAAGAUCAGAAGAAUGUGGGCGUUUUUCCUUUCCCGGGUGGUUUCAGAAGGUGGCAGUGCCUGAGUAUCCAGACAGGCUUUUUGCAUUUAGUUCAGAAACCUCUACAUCCUGCUAGAAAACAUCUAUUAAAUGCCUGAAAUAAAUGGCUAACGUCA